CAGUCGCCGCGGGAAUACGAAGGGGGCUAGCGUUGUUCGGAUUUACUGGGCGUAAAGCGCACGUAGGCGGAUCGAUCAGUCAGGGGUGAAAUCCCAGAGCUCAACUCUGGAACUGCCUUUGAUACUGUCGAUCUGGAGUAUGGAAGAGGUGAGUGGAACUCCGAGUGUAGAGGUGAGAUUCGUAGAUAUUCGGAGGAACACCAGUGGCGAAGGCGGCUCACUGGUCCAUUACUGACGCUGAGGUGCGAAAGCGUGGGGAGCAAACAGGAUUAGAUACCCCCGUAGUCCCUGUCUCUUAUAC
rnacentral:rRNA from 1 species